UACGUAGGGUGCAAGCGUUGUCCGGAAUUAUUGGGCGUAAAGAGCUCGUAGGCGGUCUGUCGCGUCUGCUGUGAAAAUCAGGGCUCAACCCUGGACCUGCAGUGGGUACGGGCAGACUAGAGUGCGGUAGGGGAGAUCGGAAUUCCUGGUGCAGCGGUGAAAUGCGCAGAUAUCAGGAGGAACACCGGUGGCGAAGGCGGGUCUCUGGGCCGAUAUCGACGUGAGGAGCGAAAGCGUGGGGGAGCGAACAGG
rnacentral:rRNA from 1 species